rnacentral:tRNA from 1 species
GGAAAUGUAGUUAAAUAUAAUAUCUGAUUUGCAUUCAGAAGGUGUCCUGCGGACCUUUUUC